CUUGACAUGUAUGGAAUCCUGCUGAGAGGUGGGAGUGCCCGAAAGGGAGCCAUAACACAGGUGCUGCAUGGCUGUCGUCAGCUCGUGUCGUGAGAUGUUGGGUUAAGUCCCGCAACGAGCGCAACCCUUGUCCCUAGUUGCUACGCAAGAGCACUCCAGGGAGACUGCCGGUGACAAACCGGAGGAAGGUGGGGAUGACGUCAAGUCCUCAUGGCCCUUAUGGGUAG
rnacentral:rRNA from 1 species